rnacentral:tRNA from 1 species
GAGGUUGUGGCUCAGUGGUAGAGCACUUGCCUAGCAGGUGUGAGGCACUGGGUUCGAUUCUCAGCACCACA